rnacentral:misc_RNA from 1 species
UUCUGCAUUAGGAUAAGUGUCAUCAACCUACUAAGAGUACAAGUAUCAACAACGACAAUGUCGCAGUCGCAGUCGCAGUCGCACACACCGGUCAACUCGUUCAACUCCAAGGAGGCUCUGGAUUUCCUCAAUCUGCGAUACUCCCAGGCCUCCAACAAGGCCAAGCAAAACACCGCCGGCGACAAGGAAGGAUCUGUGCUGUACAAGCCCCAGGCCCAGGCGUGGUCCGACGGCAGUGGACCCAACAAGACGGACUUUCUCAGCGAGUUCAAGAAGGCUUCCGAUGAGUUCAAGGCUUAAGUGAGAGUUGCCUGAUCUCGACUGCCAAAGCACAUGACCGCCGUGGAAGAUAGAUGAUGAAGAGGUCACAAGCAGAUGGAAGAUUAUCAUGGAUGCCAUAUGGUUGACCAUUAUAACCAGUUGGUGGAUUGGCGUAUCAGUAAUCCAGUUGAGUCGAUGUCUGUGUGGUACAGUACUCGUACUUACUUGUCGUCAUGUCUCUCAUAGUACGAGUACACCUUAGAUACUCUGGAUCUGGUGGCACAAGAUCAUCACGAUAAUGCCCUCCUCGUCGUGGUCUGGAAUAUAGAGUCACUCAUGAAUAAUAUUAGAUUGGAACUAC